rnacentral:lncRNA from 1 species
CAUCGGCUGGACCGUUCUGCUCCUGCGGCCCUGCCUCUUUAUCCAAUUUCCCCCGUUUUGCUACAGGCUGCAUUUUUGCUUCUAAAGAUUGCAGAAGGGGUUGAGUGCAAUGAAUAAAAUUGAAUGUUCUUUUUAUAUCGAUUGUGUCUAAAUACAACAGCUAUUCGCUACAGGAAAAAGAAAUCGCAAAUUCAUGCAAUCCCUCAUUCGUAAGGACAUAGAGAGCUAAUAAAAUUCCAUUUUUAUUUAUUUAUGCUCCCAUUUUAUAACGAUUGCCACUAAAUACAAUAGCUAUUGCUACAGGCAAAGGAAUGCCCAAAAUUAUACAAACCCUCGUUCAUGAGGAUAUAGAGAACCAAAAAUUUCUGUUCUUGUUAACAACUUGUAUUUAUUUAUACUCCAAUAUUCUCGCCAACAAUCUAAAGGGCUGAGACACUGCACCCUUCAUUUGCAUUGUCACAUAAGAGUUAUUUAUCCGUGCAUCAUCUAAAUUCAAAGAACAUAUCCUUGAUGGACACAACUGAGCAAGAACAACAGGUUGUAACGGAAUGAAAGAGACAAGUAGACAACAGCACGACCUUCCAAUCCUCAGGGGCUGUACAAACUAGGAACUCAAAUCGUUUGCAUCUUUCCUUCCUUGCACACAAUCAUCUGCCCUGCAAAUAAGAUCACACAGUUACUAUCAUCCUUAAUGGUGCUGAGUAAAUCAAAUAGCAAGGACUAAUAAGAUGAGAAUUUACCUGCCAUGGCGUAGAAUUGAGGAGGUAAUUGGUUUAAGCAGCAUGGAGGUAGAAACCAGCAGAACCUAUCGAUGGCACUAUUGCAUACAAUAGAAAUCAACACAAGUCAGUAAAAAUCAAGAGAAGUGGACAACAUAAAUCAACAGCACAUCACCUGCAUUCUAGAACAUACUUUCAACAACUAUCAUACUGUAAAACUACAAGGCACAUCAGCCAUCAACUUGAAUUUUGCAGUGCUCCUGAAUUUAUUUGGGCGCUGGUACCCUUACUACUGGAAUGUAACAAAGGAUCAAUGGAUUAG